rnacentral:rRNA from 1 species
UGAGUAACCUGCCCUUAACUCUGGGAUAAGCCUGGGAAACUGGGUCUAAUACCGGAUAUGACUCCUCAUCGCAUGGUGGGGGGUGGAAAGCUUUAUUGUGGUUUUGGAUGGACUCGCGGCCUAUCAGCUUGUUGGUGGGGUAAGAGCCUACCAAGGCGACGACGGGUAGCCGGCCUGAGAGGGUGACCGGCCACACUGGGACUGAGACACGGCCCAGACUCCGUACGGGAGGCAG